UCUAUGAAAAAAUUUGACGUUUUGAAUUUGGAUGUAAAAACAAAAUUAGGUGUAGUUGUUGUUCCUGUAAUCGGAAGUUCCUAUUAAGGACCGAGGAUAUUUGCCCAUAUAUAUCUGGUUUUCUGAGUCAUUUGUGGGCCAAUCUGAGCGUUCCAUAGGUUCCUGCAUUUGGAAAAGUGUCCCUGAUCUUUUGGUUUUUUUCAAGGUCUGCCAUGAUAUAGUGAUUACGAAGUGAUUCCAGCUCAGAAAAUAAAUGCUUUUUGAUGAUUUCGCACGUUCUGGGCCAUACAUUUGAUUUGCUUUCACACCGUGGCCUAAAAAGAGACGAUGGAGCAGGCUUCGACUUCGACUUCGACUUCGGCUUCCUGUUCAACAAGUAAAAGGCCUGCCCAGGUACCUGCUGCGUUUAAUCAAAUUAAUUCCACACAUUUCCCGUUUCAAACUUUUAAUCAUACGAGUAUUUCGCCUGCCAUUCAACGUCAAUUUGCGAAAUGCAAAAAAAAAAAAAAUAAAGUAAUGAGAAUUGAGAAAAAAUAUUCCCAAAAACUAUUCUGGCAGUAAGCAGCAGAUGAAAAAAACAGAACGAAAUACAGGAAUACAUUUGUUGUACUUAUUUCAGUUUUUAUUUUAUUUUCGUUGGUCCUUUUUUUCUCGUUUUCUUUACGUUUAUUAUCGCAUAUCAAAUAAAUGCGGGAUUAUGUGAAUAUUUCGC